rnacentral:piRNA from 1 species
UCCCAAGGUGAGCUGCCAGCCUUCUUCA